rnacentral:misc_RNA from 3 species
CAACCAAUCCAGCCCGGCUGGGUGUUGGGCGUCGCGGCCUGCCGCGCGCCUCAAAGUCCUCGGCGGAAGCCGCCCGUUCCUCUGCGUGAUGAUCCAUCGCCGCUUGGGAGUCGGGGGAGAGCGCCUGCACGCGUCGACGGAGACGUCGACUUCAA